GACGAGGUGGCCGAGCGGUCUAAGGCGCUAGAUUCAGGGCUACCUGGAGGAAAUCAGGGAGAAACUAUUAGUCCGUAAGGGCGUGGGUUCAAAUCCCAUCCUCAUCA
rnacentral:tRNA from 1 species